UGCCAGCAGCCGCGGUAAUACGGAGAGGGCAAGUGUUGUUCGGAUUUAUUGGGCGUAAAGAGCACGUAGGCGGUUGAGUAAGUCGGAUGUUAAAGACCCACGGCUCACCCGGGGGAAUGCGUUCGAAACUGCUCGACUAGAGUAUAGGAGAGGAAAGUGGAAUUCCAGGUGUAGCGGUGAAAUGCGUAGAUAUCUGGAGGAACAUCGGUGGCGAAGGCGGCUUUCUGGCCUAUCACUGACGCUGAGGUGCGAAAGCGUGGGUAGCGAACGGGAUUAGAUA
rnacentral:rRNA from 1 species